rnacentral:miRNA from 1 species
UUUUUACUUUGGGACACUGAUGGC